rnacentral:rRNA from 1 species
GGGGAAUAUUGCACAAUGGGCGCAAGCCUGAUGCAGCGACGCCGCGUGGGGGAUGACGGCCUUCGGGUUGUAAACUCCUUUCGCUAGGGACGAAGCGUUUUGUGACGGUACCUGGAGAAGAAGCACCGGCUAACUACGUGCCAGCAGCCGCGGUAAUACGUAGGGUGCAAGCGUUGUCCGGAAUUACUGGGCGUAAAGAGCUCGUAGGUGGUUUGUCACGUCGUCUGUGAAAUUCCACAGCUUAACUGUGGGCGUGCAGGCGAUACGGGCUGACUUGAGUACUGUAGGGGUAACUGGAAUUCCUGGUGUAGCGGUGAAAUGCGCAGAUAUCAGGAGGAACACCGAUGGCGAAGGCAGGUUACUGGGCAGUUACUGACGCUGAGGAGCGAAAGCAUGGGUAGCAAACAGGAUUAGAUACCCUGGUAGUCCAUGCCGUAAACGGUGGGCGCUAGGUGUAGGGGCCUUUUGGGGUUUCUGUGCCGUAGCUAACGCAUUAAGCGCCCCGCCUGGGGAGUACGGCCGCAAGGCUA